rnacentral:misc_RNA from 1 species
GGUCCGCAAGCGCGUUCUGCAGACAAGCGGUCCGCUGCAUUACGUCAAGACCACACCGCUGUUUCUCAAUCCGCCGUGGUGGGUGAGCGCAAACAUCGCGCGCCUUGAAGCGGAAGAGCCCGCUGCAGCCGCGGCGCUGGCGCCGACCGACAUCAUGCUGAGCCGCAUCGAAGCAAUCUGUUCGUACUCACCGGGCGAAGAGCUGCGGAAGAUCACGUGCCCCUGCCUGAUCACCUGUUCCAAGGACGAUCAUCUGAC